ACGAUAGCUUGGCGUUCCAGGGGGGUUGUCGCUGGCCCCACGUUCUUGGGCAUGUGCACACCUCCUGGUCGUCUCAUCCGCUUUUCACACCUGUGCACAAACUGUGGCCGAUGUCAGAGGGGGGGCGCUAUAAAGCCCCUCUGCGCCAUCUCGCCACCCUUUUUUCCACCACACUCGUUUUGCAGAAUGUGCGUCGUUAACAGCGUGCGCCGUCGCAGGCGCCGCAAACAAAA
rnacentral:misc_RNA from 1 species